rnacentral:lncRNA from 1 species
AGUAGUCUUCCUCCAAAGUAAAGAUUGCUUCCUCCUCAAUCUUCUUCAAAGACCGGCCAUCCCUCCUUACUCCUUCCGACUCCUCUUCUGCUGGUUUCUUUUUUUUUUUUUUUUCCUCUCCAAGGCUCCUAAAACAAAUCAGAAUCCCCUACCCUCAAACAAACCUCUCCUCCUCCAACCAGCUCCUUCUGCAGCCCCCUGAAUAAAAAAGAAGAAUCCCCCCUCACAGC